GCGCCAGAGGAUGGGUCUGCGGCCUAUCAGGUAGUAGUGGGUGUAGCGUACCUACUAGCCUACGACGGGUACGGGUUGUGAGAGCAAGAGCCCGGAGAUGGAUUCUGAGACACGAAUCCAGGCCCUACGGGGUGCAGCAGGCGCGAAAACUUUACAAUGCCGGCAACGGCGAUAAGGGGACCUCGAGUGCCAGGUUACAAAUCUGGCUGUCGUGAUGCCUAAAAAGCAUUGCAUAGCAAGGGCCGGGCAAGACCGGUGCCAGCCGCCGCGGUAACACCGGCGGCUCGAGUGGUAACCGUUAUUAUUGGGUCUAAAGGGUCUGUAGCCGGCCGGAUAAGUCUCUUGAGAAAUCCAGCAGCUCAACUGUUGGGCUUUCAGGAGAUACUGUUCGGCUCGAGGCCGGGAGAGGUGAGAGGUACUUCAGGGGUAGGGGUGAAAUCUUGUAAUCCUUGAAGGACCACCAGUGGCGAAGGCGUCUCACCAGAACGGACCUGACGGCAAGGGACGAAAGCUAGGGGCACGAACCGGAUUAGAUACCCGGGUAGUCCUAGCCGUAAACGAUACUCGCUAGGUGUCGGCCACGGUGCGACCGUUGUCGGUGCCGUAGGGAAGCCGUGAAGCGAGC
rnacentral:rRNA from 1 species